rnacentral:rRNA from 1 species
UCGUAUAGUACCUUACUACUUGGAUACCCAGCUGAGUAAUUCUAGAGCUAAUACAUGCAUUAAAUACUCAUUCUAGUAGCAUUUAUUAGAUUGAAACCAAUGUAAAUGUUGAGUCAUAAUAACUGUGCGGAUCGCGUUGUAUGAUGCGAUGAAUCGACUGGGUUUCUGCCCUAUCAGUUUUGGAUGGCUGUGUAUUGGACAGCCAUGACAUUGACGGGUAACGGAGGAUCAGGGUUCGACACCGGCGAGGGCGCCUGAGAUAUGGCGACCACGUCCAAGGAAGGCAGCAGGCGCGUAAAUUACCCAAUGCUAAUUCAGCGAGGUAGUGACAAGAAAUAACGAUUUUCGGUCUUCAAGAUCGGAAAAUUGGAAUGAGAACAAUUUAAAUCCCUUAUCGAGGAUCAAUUGGAGGGCAAGUCUGGU